rnacentral:rRNA from 1 species
CCUACGGGAGGCAGCAGUGAGGAAUAUUGGUCAAUGGACGAGAGUCUGAACCAGCCAAGUAGCGUGAAGGAUGACUGCCCUCUGGGUUGUAAACUUCUUUUAUAUGGGACUAAAAUGUUCCACGUGUGUGAUUUUGUAUGUACCAUAUGCAUAAGGAUCGGCUAACUCCGUGCCAGCAGCCGCGGUAAUACUGAGGAUCCGAGCGUUAUCCGGAUUUAUUGGGUUUAAAGGGAGCGUAGGUGGAUUGUUAAGUCAGUUGUGAAAGUUUGCGGCUCAACCGUAAAAUUGCAGUUGAAACUGGCAGUCUUGAGUACAGUAGAGGUGGGCGGUAUUCGUGGUGUAGCGGUGAAAUGCUUAGAUAUCACGAAGAACUCCGAUUGCGAAGGCAGUUCACUGGACUGCAACUGACACUGAGGCUCGAAAGUGUGGGUAUCAAACAGGAUUAGAUACCGAGUAGUC